GCAAGUCGAACGGAGUCCAGCCUUUAAGUCCUUCGGUUCAAAGCGGGGAAGACUGAGUGGCGGACGGGUGAGUAACACGUGGGCAACCUGGCUCAUAGAGGGGGAUAACAGAGAGAAAUUUCUGCUAAUACCGCAUAAGCACACACUGCCGCAUGGCAGAGGGUGAAAAGAGAAUCGCUAUGAGAUGGACCCGCGUCGGAUUAGCCAGUUGGCAGGGUAAGAGCCUACCAAAGCGACGAUCAGUAGCCGGUCUGAGAGGAUGAGC
rnacentral:rRNA from 1 species